UACGGAGGGUGCAAGCGUUAAUCGGAAUUACUGGGCGUAAAGCGCGCGUAGGCGGCUGGAUAAGUCGAUUGUGAAAGCCCCGGGCUCAACCUGGGAAUUGCAGUCGAGACUGUUCGGCUAGAGUGUGGGAGAGGGUGGUGGAAUUCCUGGUGUAACGGUGAAAUGUGUUGAUAUCAGGAGGAAUACCGGCGGCGAAGGCGGCCCUCUGGAUCGUUGCUGACGCUGAGACGCGAAAGCGUGGGGAGCAAACAGG
rnacentral:rRNA from 1 species